GUGAGGAAUAUUGGGCAAUGGGCGAAAGCCUGAUCCAGCCAUGCCGCGUGAGUGAUGAAGGCCUUCGGGUUGUAAAGCUCUUUAGUCCACGAAUAUAAUGACUGUAGUGGAAGAAUAAGCCCCGGCUAACUUCGUGCCAGCAGCCGCGGUAAUACGAAGGGGGCGAGCGUUAUUCGGAAUCACUGGGCGUAAAGCGUGCGUAGGCUGUUUUGUAAGUCAGAAGUGAAAGCCCAGGGCUUAACCCUGGAAUUGCUUUUGAAACUACAAGACUCGAAUUCGGGAGAGGAUAGCGGAAUUGUCAGUGUAGCAGUGAAAUGCGUAGAUAUUGACAGGAACACCAGUGGCGCAAGCGGCUAUCUGGACCGAUAUUGACGCUGAGGCACGAAAGCGUGGGGAGCAAACAGGAUUAGAUACCCUGGUAGUCC
rnacentral:rRNA from 1 species